AUACUUACCUGGCAGGGGAGAUACCAUGAUCAUGAAGGUGGUUUUCCCAGGACGAGGCUUAUCCAUUGCACUCCAGAUGUGCUGACCCCUGCGAUUUCCCCAAAUGUGGGAAACUCGACUGCAUAAUUUGUGGUAGUGGGGGACUGCGUUCGCGCUCUCCCCUA
rnacentral:snRNA from 1 species